rnacentral:rRNA from 1 species
GAAAGUGUGGGGAGCAAACAGGAUUAGAUACCCUGGUAGUCCACACCGUAAACGAUGGAUACUAGGUGUAGGAAAUGAUUUCAUUUUCUGUGCCGUCGCAAACGCAAUAAGUAUCCCACCUGGGGAGUACGGCCGCAAGGUUGAAACUCAAAGGAAUUGACGGGGGCCCGCACAAGCAGUGGAGUAUGUGGUUUAAUUCGAAGCAACGCGAAGAACCUUACCAGGGCUUGACAUAUAGAUGAAUAACUAAGAGAUUAGUUAGUCCUUCGGGACAUUUAUACAGGUGGUGCAUGGUUGUCGUCAGCUCGUGUCGUGAGAUGUUAGGUUAAGUCCUGCAACGAGCGCAACCCCUGUGAUUAGUUGCCAACAGGUUAAGCUGGGAACUCUAAUCAGACUGCCGGUGAUAAAUCGGAGGAAGGUGGGGAUGACGUCAAAUCAUCAUGCCCUUUAUGUCCUGGGCUACACACGUACUACAAUGGCUGUAACAGAGAGAAGCAACACCGCGAGGUAGAGCGAAACUCCAAAAGCAGUCUCAGUUCGGAUUGAAGGCUGAAAUUCGCCUUCAUGAAGCCGGAAUUGCUAGUAAUGGCAGGUCAGCAUACUGCCGUGAAUACGUUCCCGGGCCUUGUACACACCGCCCGUCACACCAUGAGAGUUGGGAAUACCCGAAGCCUGUGAGCCAACUGUAAAGAGGCAGCAGUCGAAGGUAGAAUCAAUGAUUGGGGUGAAGUCGUAACAAGGUAGCCGUAUCAGAAGGUGCGGCUG